rnacentral:lncRNA from 1 species
GGAGGAAGGAAGGUAGGGCGGUGGAAGGGGCUGCGAUUGUGGCAGCGGCAGCGGCGGCGGCUGUGGCAGCUGCGUUUGGGAAAGAAAAAGAAGGAAUGAGAGUAAGAGAGAGCAGGUGACUGUGCCUCGAUGUUCGACACGUGGAGUAGUUGCGAAGAAAGGAAGAAAACGAGAACACAAAACGAAACAGAGAGAGGACACGGAGGAAAAGUAGAAGGAUUUGGGCUGGCACCUUCUUUGGAUCUUCGGAUCGAAAUCUUUGAAAGGCAAGUUUCCCGCUUGUUUCGAUCCUUUCUAUUUCAAAUGUUUCGAUCCUUUCUAUUGCAAGCCCCCUGAUCGUUUCUCCUAUAAUUGCUCUGAUAUGUCUUAUUGCAAGUAUCCUGAUCUUUCCUCACUGCCAUUUUUAUCUCUACAUUUGCUUUGAAUAUGAGGAACUUUGAAUUGUUCUAGCCUUGCAUUUGAUAUAUCUCCUGUUUAGACGUAACGAUUCGAAUCUGUGCAACUUCUGAGAUUCUGACCUUUUGAUACCGAGCUGCCUAUAAGUCUUUGUUGGAAACUCUGAUUUGUUCAAAACUGAUUUCAUUGGAAACUAGACUCGUAGACCUUUCCUUGAUAUAUGGAUUGAAAGAUUUGGAAUCCAAACACCAGUCCAGUUAUCUUUUGAAUAUGACAUUAUGAAUUCUGCCAACAGAGAUUUUGUUCUACGACACUUGCUUACCAAAUUAUUUGUAACUCUCUCUGUUGGACAGUUCAAUUCAUUUGAAGCCUGUCUUAUCUGAAAGUAUUAUCCAAUGAUUAUUUCUGAGUAAAUUGGAGCACGAUUGAUAGUUUGAAUCAUUUGUUCAAUGUGCCUUCUGUAUUCUGACAGAAAUCGAGCUUUGGUCGAUUUCUCAUAUUCUGGUUUCAUUCAUUUGAAAAUUGAUAUCCUUUAGCUUUCUUAUUCAAUUGAGCUUUAUAUUACUGCUUUGAAUUCUUGUAUGCUCUUCUCCUUAAAAUUAUUUGCAUUCUUGAAAAC